CACGCCGUAAACGAUGAUAGCUCGCUGUUGGCGAUACACAGCCAGCGGCUAAGCGAAAGCGGUAAGCUAUCCACCUGGGGAGUACGGCCGCAAGGCUGAAACUCAAAGGAAUUGACGGGGGCCCGCACAAGCGGAGGAACAUGUGGUUUAAUUCGAUGAUACGCGAGGAACCUUACCCGGGCUAGAACGCCGAGCGAAUAUGGGGGAAACCCCAUAGCCAGCAAUGGCGGUCGGCGAGGUGCUGCAUGGUUGUCGUCAGCUCGUGCCGUGAGGUGUCGGCUUGAGUGCCAUAACGAGCGCAACCCCUAUCGGUAGUUGCCAGCGGGUCAAGCCGGGAACUCUACCGAAACUGCCAGCGUAAGCUGUGAGGAAGGCGGGGAUGACGUCAAAUCAGCACGGCCCUUACGUCCGGGGCGACACACGUGUUACAAUGGCCGGUACAGAGGGCAGCGACUGGGCGACCAGGAGCGAAUCUCCAAAGCCGGUCUCAGUUCGGAUCGGAGUCUGUAACCCGACUCCGUGAAGCUGGAUUCGCUAGUAAUCGCGCAUCAGCCACGGCGCGGUGAAUACGUUCCCGGGCCUUGUACACACCGCCCGUCAAGCCAUGGGAGCUGGAAGGACCUGAAGUCCGCGACCGCAAGGAGCGGCCUAGGGUAAAGCCGGUGACUGGGGCUAAGUCGUAACAAGGUAACCA
rnacentral:rRNA from 1 species